UUUCCAGGCAUGGGUGCACCACUAGGCCUAAGAGAGUAUCCACCAGGUGUUCUACCCGGGAAAUGGGACCUGCCUGUUGACCCUCGGCAGUUUUUACUAGGACACGCACCAUUUAGACCUCCAGGUUCACUUGGUCCAAGAGAAUUUUUUAAUCCUGGUACCUGUUUACCACCUCCAACCCAUGGUCCUCAGGACUACCCUCUGCCACAACCUGCUGCAAGAGACUUACAGCCUUCCGGCCCAAGAGAGGGAGCCCCACCUGUCUCUCCUAGCAGUGUCCAAGACAGUUCACCGCCUUCAAAACCCAACCCCUAACUUUGUCCUCUAUCACUGAGUCAGAGUGGAAGAGAGAGCGGACAUUGUAUUGUUCAUUACAGCAAAGAAUUCCAUCGGCUUGAAUACCUUAAAGUUUGCUAUAAAGAAUUUGUUUUUUGUACUAAGCUGCCUUGGCGGUAUGCAUUUUUGAGCCAAACAAAAAUAUAUUCUCCAUUCUAAGUAAAAAACAAAAAAUCACUUCUAAUGCCAAUGUCCUUCCAACUUUGAAAUGUGCAAUGAAGAAUACCUGUGUUUAGUUUAUGUACCAUAUGUAAUUGCUGGAUGAUUUAGAAUAUCCUAAAGUAUGAACAUUUCCUGUGGAAAUGCUUUCAGAACAUGUAUGACCAUGGCCUGGGUCUAGUGUGUACCAGCAGAUGCAGAGCAAGGGGCUCACAGCUCCAUCUGUGUCUCUGAGACUGUCACGCUAACAACGUUUCCUCAAGGAUCAUAAACUCUCCUGUGUGGCUGAAGUUCUUUGUAGUGAUAGUUCAUAAACUUUCCUGUGUGGCUGG